rnacentral:rRNA from 1 species
GAUACCCUGGUAGUCCAUGCCGUAAACGAUGAGUGCUAGGUGUUGGAGGGUUUCCGCCCUUCAGUGCCGGAGCUAACGCAUUAAGCACUCCGCCUGGGGAGUACGACCGCAAGGUUGAAACUCAAAGGAAUUGACGGGGGCCCGCACAAGCGGUGGAGCAUGUGGUUUAAUUCGACGCAACGCGAAGAACCUUACCAAGACUUGACAUCCUCCUGACGAGAUAUGUAAUGUAUCUUUUUUCUUCGGAGACAGGAGAGACAGGUGGUGCAUGGUUGUCGUCAGCUCGUGUCGUGAGAUGUUGGGUUAAGUCCCGCAACGAGCGCAACCCUUAUUUCUAGUUGCCAGCAGUAAGAUGGGGACUCUAGAGAGACUGCCAGUGACAAACUGGAGGAAGGUGGGGAUGACGUCAAAUCAUCAUGCCCCUUAUGUCUUGGGCUACACACGUGCUACAAUGGUCAGAACAGAGGGCAGCGAAGCCGCGAGGUGGAGCAAAUCCCAGAAAACUGAUCUCAGUUCGGAUUGCAGGCUGCAACCCGCCUGCAUGAAGUCGGAAUCGCUAGUAAUCGCGGGUCAGCAUACCGCGGUGAAUACGUUCCCGGGCCUUGUACACACCGCCCGUCACACCACGAAAGUUGGUAACACCCGAAGCCGGUGGCCUAACCCUUAGGGGAGGGAGCUGUCGAAGGUGGGACUGAUGAUUGGGGUGAAGUCGUAACAAGGUACC